CGAAAUUAUGGUUAUUUGAAUAUAAUAAGAAAAUAAAGGAAAUAUUAAGUAAAAUAUUCUAUUUUCUUAUGAAAUAAUAUUUUUAGAGUUAUACGUAAAUAAUUUUUGUAGCGUAAAAGCUAAAUAAUUUAUACAUACUGUAAUACAGUAAGCCAAAAUAUUUAAUUUAAUUUACAAUAACAAGAAGGCCCCCGAAUAAACAAAAGUAAAGAGGAUUGUGAACCUACAGUUUGGAAA
rnacentral:lncRNA from 1 species